AGCGAACGCUGGCGGCAGGCUUAACACAUGCAAGUCGAGCGGGCGUAGCAAUACGUCAGCGGCAGACGGGUGAGUAACGCGUGGGAACGUGCCUCUUGGCUCGGAACAACACAGGGAAACUUGUGCUAAUACCGGAUAAGCCCUUACGGGGCAAGAUUUAUCGCCGAAAGAUCGGCCCGCGUCUGAUUAGCUAGUUGGUGAGGUAAUGGCUCACCAAGGCGACGAUCAGUAGCUGGUCUGAGAGGAUGAUCAGCAACAUUGGGACUGAGACACGGCCCAAACUCCUACGGGAGGCAGCAGUGGGGAAUAUUGGACAAUGGGCGCAAGCCUGAUCCAGCCAUGCCGCGUGAGUGAUGAAGGCCCUAGGGUUGUAAAGCUCUUUUGUGCGGGAAGAUAAUGACGGUACCGCAAGAAUAAGCCCCGGCUAACUUCGUGCCAGCAGCCGCCGCCGUAA
rnacentral:rRNA from 1 species